rnacentral:lncRNA from 1 species
GGGGAACCUAGUCGUUCAUUUCGACGAAAAAAUAUAAUACAUCCCAAAACAAUUAGCGGUACUAAUUAAAAACAAAUAUUUUCGAUACAUGCACCCCGGCAACAUCAAGGAGUUCACCCUUUGAGGGUGACGGAGCUAGCCCUGUCCAAGAUAGGGCGACGAGGGCGUCGAGUGAGCUGGUGUCGAGGCCCUUUGGCAGCUUGAAGAAUGCCUUGCUCGGAUCCACCUUUGGAUUAUGAUAGGGAACCUUCACCAAGACCUUGUGAAGGACCCUGCGGCAUAUCUCACCGCAACCAUGAAGGAAUUUAUCGGCCCGUCCGACCUCGUACCUCGCCAACGAGUCAACGAGCUUCCCAAAGAAUAUGG